GUGUAAAUGUACUCUUAGAACCCUGUUCUACUAACAUAGCUAAGCCUAUUACUGGGCUGUAUUUCACACAAGAUUUCCAAAGAUCCCAAGCCCCCUAUUUUAGUUUGCAGACCCAGCUAUAUCUCUAAGAAUUUUUUUUUUUACAAAUCCUUUAUAACUGGUGCAAUUGUAAACAGAUCUCUGUCUUAGCAGCUUGUCUUGAUUGCAUAAGUUGCAUUUUGUCCCCCUUGUUUGUAGCACUUAUAGAUGCCUGUAUCAAUUGCAACUUUGAUUGAUACUGGUACUGGAGUUUGUUCUAGUUAUGUGUUCAUUACUAUUCAUUGAUUACAAUCAGGCAGAGUUCAUAUACGCACCAGAAUCUUUAUCAAUACAGAAAGCCUCAUGGACAGCCCGCACCUCAGUAGCCGUGAUUAUAAAGUCAAAGCAAGAUGACUUUGAACUGGGAGGAUGUGGACUUUGAUUCUUUGACACUUGCUAUUAUCCACCAGCUCUCUCUUCACUCCCCCUCCGCAGAGCAGAUGCCACUCAUGUUAUGUUGGAGAAAGGGAACUCCCACAUCCAUUAAGAGAAUUAUGUGGUGGGUGUGAAUAAUGAGGAGUGUGAGCAAAGCAGAAAAGAAGUGUGCGGCAGCAGCAGAACCAUUGGAGGAACAGUGCAGAACGUGAUGCCGCAGCCCUUGGAGCUGUCCACAAAGCAGUACUGAAACAGUGACACACACAAUCUCUCGGACAGAUUCUCUACCUUCCCCUGGUUCGGUACAAAAAUGGUGUGCUAAAAAGAUAAAUUGUAAGAACAACAAAUGGGAUUUCUGAGCUGUUUCUUGCCAGGGCAGCAGAAUAAGCUGGGCAUUCAGAUGCAGAAAUCGGAUUGCAGUCCUAGCUCUUAAUAGAGUUGAUUAGCAGCCGCUUCGUUAUCCCAAUGUAUCUUCAGUAGGGCAGGCACAGGAUUACCCAGGAUAACUCCUUCCAUAAUACCAUCCAAUUGGUUACAUGAGGAUUUAACAGAUGGGCUCCUCAGUGUGUGUGCACACAUCAGAUCCCCAACAUCCAGAUUACCAGAGGUCUGGGAUUUGACUAGCACAGACAGCUGGCACACAGACAUAAGGAGCACGGGCAUUACCUGCUCACAGGGCUGCAGCAACAACACAAGGCACAUGCUGGUUAAUAGCACAGGAAAAGGGAUGUGAUGGGUAGUGACCCAGGGGGGACAUGCACAGACAAGAUAAUCAGGGAGAUACUGGGACAGUAACACUUCAGUACAAAUGAGGCACCCUCUUACCCUCUUGAUCGUACCUCAUAAUAUUAAUUCACAUGGAGACACACUCUCUCUCUGUUAAGCCUACUCCUAACCCAUACAACAGUGCUAAUGCAUAUGUCUGGAACCUUGUAUAUGAACUUUCUACUGUUCUAAAAAUACAAUUCCCAGCCGAGGGCAGGCCGCUGUAGUGUAGGAGUGCUUGGAACAGCUGAGGCCUUUAGAUGUUCCUGUCAAUGACAACCUUCACCCUAUAGUUGGUUUACCGUUACAUCAAGAAAAGCAAAACACCAACAUAUAAUUUAAGUCAUUUAUUUUAUCAGAGUAAUACCAAUGCUAUAUAGCAGAAAUGUGUUCCAGCAGAGAUUUUCAUUGUCCCGAGAAGGAGCUUUUUUUUUUAUUUAAAGCUUGUUUUGCAAUCCCCAAUAUAAGAAUAUACUACCCCCACUUAAAACAGGAACUUAUGUAAGAGAUUCUUGAUCAGUUCUUGAAAUAAAUGCCAUCAUUCUGUUUCUAAGGAAGCUUCUAUUGCAGCGUGUACUUAUUUCUCAACAGUCUUCUUUCAAAUAACUCUAAUUCUACACUUUCCCAGAUACAAUAAGCAAGUGCAUGGCCGGCUAAAUUGGAUGAAGCAGCGCUGCACUUAACCUUGCAACUGUCAAAUGGACACCGACAAAGAAUAUUAAGUGGAUUAUAAUGAUCGGGUGCUGUCCAGGUAACAUCUCUAAGGAACAAAUAUCCCAAAAACAGUAGAUUUGAUUAAUUUCUUAAUUUUAGGAUUUCACUAAAAACUCUAGAGAAUAUUUUUUCUGGACACUAAGGGGCCUAUUUAUCAACAGUGUAAUUUUUGAGGUUUUUCAAACCAAAUCUAAACGCUAAAAUUACAUGUCAUGAGAUUUUUUUCUGCAUAAAAAAAGUAUGAAGGGAAAAACGAUUCUGAAAUGUGCGCUAAAAAAUACGAAUACCUCAAAAAAAACCUAAAUGUUAUAGUUUUUGGAACAAUUCCUACUAGAAAAAAAAUACGAAAAGUCAGAAUUGAUUUAGAGCGGUUCAAUAGGAUCAGCGCAGCUCCCAUUGACUCCUAUAGGACCUCGACAAAUUUUACCUAGCGAGGUAUUAGAGGUUUUAUGGUUUUUGUUCAGCAAACAGACUAAUAACACAUGAAUGUGUUACGUUAUAUGUGGUCAGACAGUCUGUUGUUAAGCAGGUGCUUUUGUGUGUUUUUUUGGGCUUCAAUGUCCAACAAACAAUCAGAACAGAUAUUAGAGUUCCAUGGUGGUUGGUGAUUUGGCUGAUGUUCAUGUGCACAUAUUAUUGUCUUGGAAGAUGAAUUUAGCUUAUCGCUUAAUCAGAAAUGGGCAGCCAAACAACUGCUCUUA